rnacentral:rRNA from 1 species
CCCUUAGAUGUUCUGGGCCGCACGCGCGCUACACUGACGCAUUCAUCAAGCCUACAACCUUGGCCGAGAGGCCUGGGUAAUCUUUUGAAAGUGCGUCGUGAUGGGGAUAGAUUAUUGCAAUUCUUAAUCUUCAACGAGGAAUUCCUAGUAAACGCACGUCAUCAGCGUGCAUUGAUUACGUCCCUGCCCUUUGUACACACCGCCCGUCGCUACUACCGAUUGAAUGUCUUAGUGAGGACCACGGACCGCUGCCUUGGGUGGCAACACCCCUGGCUGCGGGAAGUGGUCCAAACUUGAACAUUUAGAGGAAGUAAAAGUCGUAACA